CCUAAUGGUUAGAAGAUUUGAAAUUAAGAAUAUUGCUGUUUGAAAGUCAUUUUUGAAAGUUCAUGAAUUGAAUUUUAAUAUUUAUGACCUUAAUACAAAAUGUCAGCAAAUUUCACAUUUACCAAAUUUCUAAAAUCGAAUAUCUCUUCUUUUUUGUUGAGUUGAUAUAAUCAUUUACUGGAUUUGAAAUCAGCUAAACAUUUUUAACAGAACAUGUAAUUACAAUUUUCUUUUUCAAGCACAUCUAGUAUAAUUAUUUAACGUCUUCCAGCAUUGUCUUGCUGCCAUGAUAAAGCUUUUUUUUUAGCUGAUGGUCAUAAAGCAAUCAACAAUUAAUGAAACAAGCAUUAUCUCUUGAAAAGCACUUCAUCAAUUUUCACAAAAUUGUCAGUUUAUAUGAUAAGAAUUUAAAAAAAAAAAAUCAGUUAUAUAUAUAUAUAUCGUGUAUUGCAUUUGGUGUAGGCUAUUGGAAGGUGCUAAUUCAUAUAUAAAACCUGUAUUGAUGAUAUGAUAAGUCAAAUAUAUCAUUUUCAUUAUUUUGUUAUUCCCAAUAUUGUGCAAUACUUAUAUUUUGUGAUUACUGAUUAUAAAUGUGAUUAAACAUAGAAUUCUGUGAUGGCUAGAAUAGAAUUAGAUUUUUGAAGUGGGUUAACAAAAGUAGUCAGGUUUUUAGUUGGGCUAUUUAAUCAUGAAUAUUAAAAUUAGUGUUAAAUUAAUAAAAAUUUUGCAUUAUAAAGAUUAAUGUAAGUCUUUUUAUACUACUUGUCGAUUAAAAAAACCAUGGUUUUUCAGUAGGAAACCCUUUUUUCUAAAAGUAUUGAGUUUUAAAAAUUCAUUAUUUGCAUAAGUGAUACAGUUUAAAUAUCAAAUGGGACCACAAGUUGGAUAACUUUCACUCUUAUAUGAAUUAAACACCUACAGGAAGUCCUUAAAAUUUUUAUGAAAAUCAUUUAUGAAAAAUAUUUUUUUUCAUGCUUCAGCUACUACUUACUGAAAUUCAUAAAUUUCUGUGAAAGUUUUGAAAAUGCAAAAAUAGUUGACAGUUUCAGCAGUCAGGUUCGCAAUAACAUAAAGUCACAUUCAUAAUUUCAGUACGAAUUUUCCUUCAUCAAAGUUUUCAAUCCCAUUCAUUAGAGUUAAUGAUUCACUGAAAAUAUGAAAGCAACACAUUAUUAAUUUAAUGCAUCUAAAUCUAAAUGCAUGGAAUUAUUUCUGAAUUUACAGUAUAUUUUAGAAUUUUGUUAGAAUUCUGUUAUAGAUUUGAGCAAAGUUCUGAUCUUAUAUUACUUUUGGUAAAUAUAUUUUUGUAAUAAAAACCAAAUACAGUCUCAAACAAAUAUUUUACUUGGAAUGUGUACUUAGAAAUGUGAUCAUUUAUUAACAUACAACUUUUCUGUUGAUGAAUAAGUGUAUUUAUACUUAGACAUUUGAAUCAUGGCUCAUUACAAAUGAAAAAAAAGUAACUUAUUCCUAUCAACAUUGAGUAAGGCAUGUUAUUAAUACUUCUACCAGAUUUUGUGUCAUAAUAUAUACAAGUCUUUUAUGUCUUCUGACCAUUAUCUUUAAUAAAUAAUGUAUGUUUUUAUAUUUGAAUAUUUAACAAUUAUCAUUUUUUAGAACAAUUGUGUGCAUGUAUUUCUCAUAAAUCAAGUAUUUUUCAUAGAAUUUGUUUUAAAAGUUUGAUUAAGUCAUUGAUUGAUAUAUUUUUGUAUAGCUGCUAGAGACAUAGUAAGAACAAAUGUUUCUUUAUUCUUGUACUCCUAUUUUCUACAAAUUUUGCAUGUAUUCUGCAUAAAUGACAUCUUGUCUGAGUUUUUGUCCCCAGUACUAUCAAAUAGUUAUUGACCCUUUUACUUAAGUAUAGAAUAUGUCAUUAAAAGAUAGUCAUUGCUAUAUAUAAAAGAUCAUUGAAAAUGGCUCAAUUAAUAAAAUAAGUUGAAUUUUUAUAAAUUAAUCAUGUAUAUCCUUGUCUUAAAAAGGAGGUAUAUAUAGUUUUGCAGGUGUUUUUAAAUCUAUCCACCUUAAAAUAAGAAUAUUUCUAUAAGUGGAUGUUAUUGGCAAAUAGCUUUGGUAGUACAUGUACCACACUUUGCUCAUUGCUCAUUGUAGCUCUGAAUAAUUUUCUAAAUUGACAAAUUCUUUUCAAUCAUAUAAGAUAAAUUUUGGAGUCAUUACGGUAUUCCCUGUCCAUUUCCAACUUAAAUGUUAGUUUGCUUUGGUGGUACCACAAUUUUCUCUCUGUAUCUGUUAUAAACAUUUUAUAUGAUAUUAUCUUUUGUAAUUUCUGAGUUUUUAUAGAAUUUAUAAAGUUUAACAAAUUAAUUUGUUUAUUCAAUACUUUUAAAUGGAGUUUGGAUUCUUCUUCUUUUACUAUCACAAUUUUUAUUAUAAAAAUGAAAAAACAUUUUGUAUGUUCAUCAUUGAUAAUUUGUAGAGAAAAUGUGUGAGCUUGUAUUAUUUGAGGGACAAUUAAAAGGGUAUGUGCUAGUUGUCAUAAUUUGAAAGAAAUUUAAUAUUUACUGUAAUGUUCUUUAAAGGAUUUGAAUAUGUGAUACGACAUAAUAUUGUCACAACACAACAAGUCUUGAAUCUUUCAUUAUUUGUACAUGUUCAUUAAAUAUUUUUG
rnacentral:lncRNA from 1 species